CCUACGGGUGGCUGCAGUGGGGGAUAUUGGACAAUGGGGGAAACCCUGAUCCAGCGAUGCCGCGUGAGGGAAGAAGGUUUUCGGAUUGUAAACCUCUGUGGAGGGGGACGAUAAUGACGGUACCCCUUUAGGAAGCCACGUCUAACUACGUGCCAGCAGCCGCGGUAAUAUGUAGGUGGCGAGCGUUGUCCGGAAUUACUGGGUGUAAAGGGGGUGUAGGGGGGUAAGCAAGUCAGAAGUGAAAACUAUGGGCUUAACCCCGAGCCUGCUGUUGAAACUGGUUUGCUUGAGUGAAGGAGAGGCAAGCGGAAUGCCUGGUGUAGCGGUGAAAUGCGUAGAUAUUAGGAGGAACACCAGUGGCGAAGGCGGCUUGCUGGGCUUUUACUGACGCUGAGGCUCGAAAGCGUGGGGAGCAAACAGGAUUAGAUACCCGGGUAGUC
rnacentral:rRNA from 1 species